rnacentral:rRNA from 1 species
AGCGAACGCUGGCGGCAGGCCUAACACAUGCAAGUCGAACGAACCUUUCGGGGUUAGUGGCGGAUGGGUGAGUAACACGUGGGAUCGUGCCUUUAGGUCUGGAAUAACUCAGGGAAUAUUGUGCUAAUACCGAAUGUGCUCUCCGGGGGAAAGAUUUAUCGCCUUUAGAGCGGCCCGCGUCUGAUUAGCUAGUUGGUUGAGGUAAUGGCUCACCCAGGCGACGAUCAGUAGCUGGUCUGAGAGGAUGAUCAGCCACAUUGUGACUGAGACACGGCCCAAACUCCUACGGGAGGCAGCAGUGGGGGAUCUUGCGCAAUGGGCGAAGUGCUGACGCAGCCAUGCCGCGUGAAUGAUGAAAGUCUUAGGAUUGUAAAAUUCUUUCACCGGGGACGGUAAUGACGGUACCCGGAGAAGAAGCCCCGGCUAACUUCGUG